rnacentral:rRNA from 1 species
ACGAACGCUGGCGGCGUGCUUAACACAUGCAAGUCGAACGGAAAGGCCCUGCUUUUGUGGGGUGCUCGAGUGGCGAACGGGUGAGUAACACGUGAGUAACCUGCCCUUGACUUUGGGAUAACUUCAGGAAACUGGGGCUAAUACCGGAUAGGAGCUCCUGCUGCAUGGUGGGGGUUGGAAAGUUUCGGCGGUUGGGGAUGGACUCGCGGCUUAUCAGCUUGUUGGUGGGGUAGUGGCUUACCAAGGCUUUGACGGGUAGCCGGCCUGAGAGGGUGACCGGCAACAGUGGGACUGAGAUACGGCCCAGACUCCUAGGGGAGGCAGCGGUGGGGAAUAUUGCACAAUGGGCGGAAGCCUGAUGCAGCAACGCCGCGUGCGGGAGGACGGCCUUCGGGUUGUAAACCGCUUUCGCCUGUGACGAAGCGGGAGUGACGGUAAUGGGUAAAGAAGCACCGUCUAACU